rnacentral:rRNA from 1 species
UACGUAGGGGGCAAGCGUUGUCCGGAAUCAUUGGGCGUAAAGCGCGUGUAGGCGGGUCGGUAAGUCCGCUCUGAAAGCCCGGGGCUCAACCCCGGGAGGCGGGUGGAUACUGUCGACCUCGAGUCCGGAAGAGGCGAGUGGAAUUCCUGGUGUAGCGGUGAAAUGCGCAGAUAUCAGGAGGAACACCAAUGGCGAAGGCAGCUCGCUGGGACGGUACUGACGCUGAGACGCGAAAGCGUGGGGAGCAAACAAG